GCCAGAGGGUGCAAACGUUGUUCGGAAUUACUGGGCGUAAAGCGCGUGUAGGCGGCUUGGCAAGUCGGGUGUGAAAGCCCUGGGCUCAACCUAGGAAGUGCACUCGAAACUGCCUCGCUGGAGUGCCGGAGAGGAAAGCGGAAUUCUCGGUGUAGAGGUGAAAUUCGUAGAUAUCGGAAGGAACAUCAGUGGCGAAAGCGGCUUCCUGGACCAGCACCGACGUUCAGGCACGAAAGCGUGGGGAGCAAACAGG
rnacentral:rRNA from 1 species